GUCCCUGUAGCGCAAUGGAUAGUGUGUUGGAAUUCUAAUCCAAAGGUCGUGGGUUCAAAUUCUACUUGGGAUA